ensembl:lncRNA
GGAGAGGCAGAGCGCAGGCAGCUGGAUAAAUUCGCAGACGUGGAAUUCCUGGAUCAAAUGGAGGAGGAUGAAGAUGGAGAGUCAGUAGGAACGGGGAAGAGGGCUUCUUGCCAUGGAACAUUUGCCACCUAGUGACCAUUCUGAGUGGUGAUACUUGUUCUCGUCUUCUCAGCCUGGCAGCCUGCCCUUGACUCCUGAGUUCUGUGAGCCCUUCAAAACUGCAAGUCAUUCUCAAAAGAAAUUUGGGUUUACCUAGUGUGCACCUUUGAGAGUUUGGGAACAGUAUGCAAAUUCAAGUUACCCUCAUAAAAGAAAUUGCCAGAAACACUUUUCUGUGUACAUGAAGGGAAACCAUAAAAUAUGGAUCACUGAGAAAUUCCUGUUGGACUGGCUUUUGAAGUGUUUUGUUCCUGAGGUUAAACAGUAUUUAAACCCAAAACAUCUUGAAUUCGAGGUGUAACUGAUUCUGGACACGGCUCCCACUGACAAAAGCAUGAUCCUUGUAUUAAAGGCAGCUGUAUUCCCCCCAGUACAUCUCCACUCUUUNNNNNNNNNNNNNNNNNNNNNNNNNNNNNNNNNUUCCACCCUUGCACCUGGGAGUGUAUUUGAUUGACUACCUGGCAAAUCUUACGAGAGAGACACCAGAAAUUACCGUGGAAAUAGCUUGGUAAAAUUUCUCCAUUUGUAACACUUUGAUACUAGUAGGAGAAUCAGUGAGAGAGAGAAAAUGAUCAACCCUUAACGGAGACUGGCAGCAACUUUGGAAUGAAGUUGUAAGUGAUUCUGAAGCUUUCCUUCCAGUGCCUGAAGAAAUUGAAAAUUUGGUAGCAUCUGCAGAACAUACGGGUGGUGACGGAUUCGAAGACAGUGAAUUAAGUGACGUUGCUGAACUGUUAGAUUCUCACCCUCAGAAGAUGGUUGAGAAAUAUUUCAGAGAUGGGAUCCCAUCAAAAGUUGAUGAAAGAUGUCAGCGUAGAUUACCUUCUAGAACUCAAAGAAUGUGGAAGCACCCACUCCGCAAAUCAAGUUGUCAUGGUGAUUCACAGGAAAGAGAUCCUUCGCUGGAAUAUUUAUUGACCUACAGGGAGAAGAGGCUGUACCACCGGGCUGUGUCACUCAAGCCCUUGCCCAAAAAAGCAGGCACAAGGGCCUCACACUGAUGCUUGAACCUGGGGAUUCAGACUCUGGCAGCUCUGAUGAUGAGUGAUGAUCCGUGUGCCCAAGAAUGAGAGUGAAGCAGGACACUGAGUUUACUCAGAUCCAGACAAAACCCUGUCACUGCUGUGAUGAUCAGCAUUUUCACUGAUGCAUGAUGUUCCUCACUUUGAGAUCAGAGAGAAAUAGAAAUUAAUUGCCCUGUCAUCACUAUGACUAAUGUAAAAUUAGUAAAAUGCCACCCGAAGUCACUUGACGUAGUGUUUUAUUUCAGUGGACUAACCAAUUGCCUGAGCUUUCAUAAUUAUUCCCUGCCCUGCCCCAGUUUCCCCCUAAACUCUUCAAUUCCUCCAACACACAUUCCCCUGGAAUGAGGGUUUCAGGAACUUGACUCUAGGAUCUAAGGAGGGGGCUACUCUACUUGAUCGUAAAAUUUGACUUUUGUACUCCUAAUCCUGAAAUUUAUAUUUUAUUCUGUUUAAGCUUAAGUUGCUCUCUCAACAGAAAGGAUCUAAAUCUUCUCCUUUUAAUGAGUCUGGUGCAAUUUAAUUUGUUUUCCAGCAACAGUAUAAGGUCCUGAAAGGCAUGGUUGGUCCCGGAAGGCAGUGCCUUUAUAAUGGGUUCCUGGAUUUACUUUGGUACCUAAUCAAGGAGGAGAAGCUGCUAGAGUUCAUUUCCAUCCAUCUUUUCUGUUGUCAUAUCUGGUCUUUCUGGUGAUUUGAAUGGUUGAAUAUCUUCCAGGAAAGGAAUAUGGAAACUUUGUCUUCCCUAAAGAUGGUAGAAACCCAAUAAUUUUCCCCCCAGCAUGGUGGUCUGGAAUGAUAGGGUACCUGUAUCUGAGUUUGAAGUGAUCAGAGUAAAGGAAAAAAAUACAAAAGUUAAGAGGGCUUGUGUGCGUAGUUACAGUGGAGAUGGCGUAUGUUCAAAAGAGGCACAUCAGAGUUGAAAACCCAUUACAGGUGAUAGGGAUCUAGUGACUUCACCACGGUGCCAGGGGAGCUUACAUUCCUCUCUAAGCCGCAGCGGUUUUCAACACUGACUGCCCAUCAAAAUCAUUAUGGGGAGUUUCAGAAAAUACAGGUUACUGGGACCUGCCCUGGACAUGUUGAAUUAGGGAUGAGGCCUGUUGGGUCGGUCGCUGUUUCUUUUGAAAGCUCCUCAAGUGAUUUUUUUUUUUUUAAAUACAGCCUUGGCUGCAAACCCCUGCUCUAUGUCUCAACAUAAUUAUGGUAGACAAUGUAAUCCUAAUGGUUGUGGGCCUAAGGGCUAGGAGAUGUUAAUUCCAGGUUUCCGCUCUGCCACUCGCACAAUGGAUGGAAUUAUUCAAAUCACCCUACUUUUUAUCUGUCAAAUGAGAGAAGAGGCCCACUUGGUGUCGGAUGUCCUUCUAUCUCUGGCAUCGUUACCUUGAGAAAAAGGUGCAUCAACCUCAUUGGUUGAUUUUGAGAGUUCUAAGCCUUUUCAUAGAGACCAAAGUAAGUAGUAGUAUUACUGUAUUGCAUUCUUACCAUUUUCAAAAUUGUUGUUGCGGUUCAAGCUCUACCAUGUUUUAAUCCCUCUCGGAAAAGAGAGUUAGGCAUUGAUGCCAUAGAAAAGAGGGAAACUGGAGUUCCCGUCAUGGCUCGAUGGUUAAUGAAUCCGACUAGGAACCAUGAGGUUGCAGGUUCCAUCCCUGGCCUCGCUCAAUGGAUUAAGGAUCCGGCAUUGCCAUGAGCUCCGAUUAGACUCCUAGCCUAGGAACCUCCAUAUGCCACGGAUGUAGCCCUAGAAAAGGCAAAAA